AUGCAGAACCUGGGUUUUAGCAGCCGUUGGAGGGAUUGGAUCUCAUUGCUACUGGUCUCGACCUCCUCCUCCUCCUUCCUACUGAAUGGCGACCCGGGAAAGAAGCUGCAACAUCGGCGUGGUCUUCGUUAGGGAGACCCCUUGUCCCCUUUGCUUUUCAUCUUGGUGAUUGAUGUUCUACAUCGAUUAAUUGCAAAAGCAGCUGAGCUGAAUAUUCUGGCACCUCUACCAGGCCGCGAGCUCAAACUACGAAUCAGUCUGUAUGCGGAUGAUGUCAUCAUCUUCGCAAACCCUAUCAAGGAUGAGGUUGACAAGCUGCUAAAAAUCAUAUCUAUGUUUGGAGAUGCCUCUGGUCUGCGUCUGAACAUCGAUAAGAGCACAGUCACACCAAUCAGAUGCGAUGACAUAAACCUCCAAGAGGUCCUCAAAGCUUUGGAGGUCAGACAACAAAGUUCCCCAUCAAAUACCUGGGUUUGCUGA
rnacentral:rRNA from 1 species